UUGACCUCAAAUCAGGUAGGACUACCCGCUGAACUUAAGCAUAUCAAUAAGCGGAGGAAAAGAAACUAACAAGGAUUCCCCUAGUAACUGCGAGUGAAGCGGGAAAAGCUCAAAUUUAAAAUCUGGCAGUCUCUGGCU
rnacentral:rRNA from 1 species